rnacentral:rRNA from 1 species
UGGGGAAUUGUUCGCAAUGGGCGCAAGCCUGACGACGCAACGCCGCGUGGAGGACGAAGAUCUUCGGGUCGUAAACUCCUUUCGAUCGGGACGAACGGCCGGUGACCUAACACGUCAUCGGAGUGACGGUACCGAGAGAAGAAGCCCCGGCUAACUCCGUGCCAGCAGCCGCGGUAAUACGGGGGGGGCAAGCGUUGUUCGGAAUUACUGGGCGUAAAGGGCGCGUAGGCGGCCUACUAAGUCGGACGUGAAAUCCCUCGGCUCAACCGAGGAACUGCGUCCGAUACUGGCAGGCUGGAAUCCGGGAGAGGGAUGUGGAAUUCCAGGUGUAGCGGUGAAAUGCGUAGAUAUCUGGAGGAACACCGGUGGCGAAGGCGGCAUCCUGGACCGGUAUUGACGCUGAGGCGCGAAAGCUAGGGGAGCAAACGG